rnacentral:rRNA from 1 species
ACACGACUACAUUAGAUACCCUGUAGUCCUAGCCGUAAACGAUACUCGCUAGGUGUCGGCCACGGUGCGACCGUUGUCGGUGCCGUAGGGAAGCCGUGAAGCGAGCCACCUGGGAAGUACGGCCGCAAGGCUGAAACUUAAAGGAAUUGGCGGGGGAGCACAACAACGGGUGGAGCUUGCGGUUUAAUUGGAUUCAACGCCGGAAAUCUUACCGGGACCGACAGCAACAUGAAGGCCAGGCUGAAGACUUUGCCGGAUUAGCUG